ACCCUGAUCCAGCCAUGCCGCGUGAGUGAUGAAGGCCUUAGGGUCGUAAAGCUCUUUCGCCCGUGAAGAUAAUGACGGUAGCAGGUAAAGAAACCCCGGCUAACUCCGUGCCAGCAGCCGCGGUAAUACGGAGGGGGUUAGCGUUGUUCGGAAUUACUGGGCGUAAAGCGCACGUAGGCGGAUCGGAAAGUUGGGGGUGAAAUCCCGGGGCUCAACCCCGGAACUGCCUCCAAAACUAUCGGUCUAGAGUUCGAGAGAGGUGAGUGGAAUUCCGAGUGUAGAGGUGAAAUUUGUAGAUAUUCGGAGGAACACCAGUGGCGAAGGCGGCUCACUGGCUCGAUACUGACGCUGAGGUGCGAAAGUGUGGGGAGCAAACAGGAUUAGAUACCCUGGUAGUCCACACCGUAAACGAUGAAUGCCAGUCGUCGGAUAGCAUGCUAUUCGGUGACACACCUAACGGAUUAAGCAU
rnacentral:rRNA from 1 species